rnacentral:misc_RNA from 1 species
AGCAUUUCUGCAGAAGGAGAUGCUACUUCUCUCAGAAAUUUGCAGGUAUUUUCGCAAUGUCUUUCCUCUUCAUUGUUUAUUUAGUAGCGCUUCGCCCCUUCCUAUACUAUAAGUGCCGUUAUUUACCCUUACGCAUUGUAGGAGAGUGCAGGGUAAUUUGAAACCUUCUGGCGUGAUUUAUGCAGGGUAAGAGAGUGCAGAAAUGUGUGGAAACUCUUGAUGUGCUGAAGAUAUCCAAUGCAAAAGUAAAG